GUUGUAUGGUUAAGUGACUAAGCGUACACGGUGGAUGCCUUGGCAGUCAGAGGCGAUGAAAGACGUAGUAACUUGCGAUAAGCCCAGAUUAGGUAGUAACAACCAUUUGAGUCUGGGAUUUCUGAAUGGGGAAACCCACGUGCAUAAGCACGUAUCCUUACCUGAAUACAUAGGGUAAGGAGGCGAACCGGGGGAACUGAAACAUCUAAGUACCCCGAGGAAAAGAAAUCAACCGAGAUUCCGAAAGUAGCGGCGAGCGAAAUUGGACUAGCCCUUAAGCUUUAUAGGCGUUAGGUGAACAAGCUGGAAAGCUUGGCGAUACAGGGUGAUAGCCCCGUAACUGACGACGUGUGUUCAGUGAAAUCGAGUAGGGCGGGACACGUGAUAUCCUGUCUGAAUAUGGGGGGACCAUCCUCCAAGGCUAAAUACUACUGACUGACCGAUAGUGAACCAGUACCGUGAGGGAAAGGCGAAAAGAACCCCUGUGAGGGGAGUGAAAUAGAACCUGAAACCGUGUACGUACAAGCAGUAGGAGCAGGCUUGUCCUGUGACUGCGUACCUUUUGUAUAAUGGGUCAGCGACUUAUAUUCAGUGGCAAGGUUAACCAUCUAGGGGAGCCGUAGGGAAACCGAGUCUUAACUGGGCGUUCAGUCUCUGGAUAUAGACCCGAAACCAGGUGAUCUAGCCAUGGGCAGGUUGAAGGUUGAGUAACAUCAACUGGAGGACCGAACCGACUAAUGUUGAAAAAUUAGCGGAUGACUUGUGGCUAGGGGUGAAAGGCCAAUCAAACCUGGAGAUAGCUGGUUCUCCCCGAAAGCUAUUUAGGUAGCGCCUCGGACGAAUACUACUGGGGGUAGAGCACUGUUAAGGCUAGGGGGUCAUCCCGACUUACCAACCCUUUGCAAACUCCGAAUACCAGUAAGUACUAUCCGGGAGACACACGGCGGGUGCUAACGUCCGUCGUGGAGAGGGAAACAACCCAGACCGCCAGCUAAGGUCCCAAAUUACUACUAAGUGGGAAACGAUGUGGGAAGGCUCAGACAGCCAGGAUGUUGGCUUAGAAGCAGCCAUCAUUUAAAGAAAGCGUAAUAGCUCACUGGUCGAGUCGGCCUGCGCGGAAGAUGUAACGGGGCUAAGUAGUAAACCGAAGCUGCGGCAAUAUACUUUUGUAUAUUGGGUAGGGGAGCGUUCUGUAAGCGGUUGAAGGUGUGUGGUAACGCAUGCUGGACGUAUCAGAAGUGCGAAUGCUGACAUGAGUAACGAUAAAGGGGGUGAAAAACCUCCUCGCCGGAAGACCAAGGGUUCCUGUCCAACGUUAAUCGGGGCAGGGUAAGUCGACCCCUAAGGCGAGGCCGAAAGGCGUAGUCGAUGGGAAACGGGUUAAUAUUCCCGUACUUCUUACAAUUGCGAUGGGGGGACGGAGAAGGCUAGGUGGGCCUGGCGACGGUUGUCCAGGUUCAAGUGCGUAGGCUUAAGAGUUAGGUAAAUCCGGCUCUUUCUAAGGCUGAGACACGACGUCGAGCAUCUACGGAUGUGAAGUCAUUGAUGCCAUGCUUCCAGGAAAAGCCUCUAAGCUUCAGAUUGUAAGGAAUCGUACCCCAAACCGACACAGGUGGUCGGGUAGAGAAUACCAAGGCGCUUGAGAGAACUCGGGUGAAGGAACUAGGCAAAAUGGUACCGUAACUUCGGGAGAAGGUACGCUCUCGACGGUGAAGUCCCUUGCGGAUGGAGCUAUUGAGAGUCGCAGAUACCAGGUGGCUGCAACUGUUUAUUAAAAACACAGCACUGUGCAAAAUCGUAAGAUGACGUAUACGGUGUGACGCCUGCCCGGUGCCGGAAGGUUAAUUGAUGGGGUUAGACUUCGGUCGAAGCUCUUGAUCGAAGCCCCGGUAAACGGCGGCCGUAACUAUAACGGUCCUAAGGUAGCGAAAUUCCUUGUCGGGUAAGUUCCGACCUGCACGAAUGGCGUAAUGAUGGCCACGCUGUCUCCACCCGAGACUCAGUGAAAUUGAAAUCGCUGUGAAGAUGCAGUGUACCCGCGGCUAGACGGAAAGACCCCGUGAACCUUUACUACAGCUUGGCACUGAACAUUGACCCUACAUGUGUAGGAUAGGUGGGAGGCUUUGAAGCACGUACGCCAGUAUGUGUGGAGCCGUCCUUGAAAUACCACCCUUGUAGUGUUGAUGUUCUAACGUCGACCCCUAAUCGGGGUUGCGGACAGUGCCUGGUGGGUAGUUUGACUGGGGCGGUCUCCUCCCAAAGAGUAACGGAGGAGCACGAAGGUGGGCUAAUCACGGUUGGACAUCGUGAGGUUAGUGCAAUGGCAUAAGCCCGCUUGACUGCGAGAAUGACAAUUCGAGCAGGUGCGAAAGCAGGUCAUAGUGAUCCGGUGGUUCUGAAUGGAAGGGCCAUCGCUCAACGGAUAAAAGGUACUCCGGGGAUAACAGGCUGAUACCGCCCAAGAGUUCAUAUCGACGGCGGUGUUUGGCACCUCGAUGUCGGCUCAUCACAUCCUGGGGCUGAAGUCGGUCCCAAGGGUAUGGCUGUUCGCCAUUUAAAGUGGUACGCGAGCUGGGUUUAGAACGUCGUGAGACAGUUCGGUCCCUAUCUGCCGUGGGCGUUGGAAGAUUGAAGGGGGCUGCUCCUAGUACGAGAGGACCGGAGUGGACGAACCUCUGGUGUUCGGGUUGUGUCGCCAGACGCAUUGCCCGGUAGCUAAGUUCGGAAUCGAUAACCGCUGAAAGCAUCUAAGCGGGAAGCGAGCCCUGAGAUGAGUCUUCCCUGAUACUUUAAGUAUCCUAAAGGGUUGUCGGAGACUACGACGUUGAUAGGUCAGGUGUGUAAGUGCUGUGAGGCAUUGAGCUAACUGAUACUAAUUGCCCGUGAGGCUUAACCAUACAACACCCAAGGGGUUU
rnacentral:rRNA from 1 species